CACGUUCAGAAGCGGUUCAGCUUCAACUGACGCAAUCACAUUCAUAAUCACAUUCAUUUCAUACAAAUAGCCAAUAAUGAAGACAGAAAGAGAAGUUGGCGAUCGAACAAGAAAACGAAGAGACCAGGAAGUAGUACCAUUCUUCAUGGUGGUAUGGGGGAUAAGAUGCAUAUGUGAAUUAUUCUAUACGAGCACAAGAACGAAUAUAUGCUGCUAUAUACUUGAUUGGUAAUGUAUGGAGAACCCCUUAGAUGAGGAUGGCUGAAGCAUUAGCAGAUUCAAGGUAAAAAAAGGGGAAGAGAUGGAUCAGAGAACAAACACAAGACUUGAGCUAUGAAGAGGCAAUGAAUCUCUUAAUUUGGUUGAAUGGUAUUGUACUUACUGUUAG